UACGUAGGUGGCAAGCGUUAUCCGGAAUUACUGGGCAUAAAGCGUUCGUAGGCGUUUUUGUAGGUCUUUGAUUAAAUACUUGAGCUCAACUCAAGUCCGGUUAGAGAAACCCCAAAAAUAGAAGGGUAUCGAGGUGAGUGGAAUUUGUGGUGUAGCAGUGAAAUGCGUUGAUAUCACAAGGAACACCAAUGGCGAAGGCAGCUCACUAGGUAUUUCUUGACGCUGAGGAACGAAAGCGUGGGUAGCAAACGGG
rnacentral:rRNA from 1 species